GUGCUUGGUUCGACAGCACAUACACUAAAAUUGGAAUGCUACAGAGAAGAUUAACAUGGCCCCUGUGAAUGGAUGACAUGGAAAUUCAUGAAGCAUUCCAUAUUUUU
ensembl:snRNA U6 U6 spliceosomal RNA